rnacentral:rRNA from 1 species
CGGUGAUGGAUGGGGAUGCGUCUGAUUAGCUUGUUGGCGGGGUAACGGCCCACCAAGGCGACGAUCAGUAGGGGUUCUGAGAGGAAGGUCCCCCACAUUGGAACUGAGACACGUUCCAAACUCCUACGGGAGGCAGCAGUGAGGAAUAUUGGUCAAUGGGCGAGAGCCUGAACCAGCCAAGUAGCGUGCAGGAUGACGGCCCUAUGGGUUGUAAACUGCUUUUAUAAGGGAAUAAAGUGAGUCUCGUGAGACUUUUUGCAUGUACCUUAUGAAUAAGGACCGGCUAAUUCCGUGCCAGCAGCCGCGGUAAUACGGAAGGUCCGGGCGUUAUCCGGAUUUAUUGGGUUUAAAGGGAGCGUAGGCCGGAGAUUAAGCGUGUUGUGAAAUGUAGAUGCUCAACAUCUGCACUGCAGCGCGAACUGGUUUCCUUGAGUACGCACAAAGUGGGCGGAAUUCGUGGUGUAGCGGUGAAAUGCUUAGAUAUCACGAAGAACUCCGAUUGCGAAGGCAGCUCACUGGAGCGCAACUGACGCUGAAGCUCGAAAGUGCGGGUAUCGAACAGGAUUAGAUACCCUGGUAGUCCGCACGGUAAACGAUGGAUGCCCGCUGUUGGUCUGAAUAGGUCAGCGGCCAAGCGAAAGCAUUAAGCAUCCCACCUGGGGAGUAC